rnacentral:rRNA from 1 species
GACAGCAGUCGCCGCGGUAAUACGAAGGGUGCAAGCGUUACUCGGAAUUACUGGGCGUAAAGCGUGCGUAGGUGGUGGUUUAAGUCCGUUGUGAAAGCCCUGGGCUUAACCUGGGAAUUGCAGUGGAUACUGGGUCACUAGAGUGUGGUAGAGGAUAGUGGAAUUUCCGGUGUAGCAGUGAAAUGCGUAGAGAUCGGAAGGAACAUCUGUGGCGAAGGCGACUAUCUGGGCCAACACUGACACUGAGGCGCGAAAGCGUGGGGAGCAAACAGGAUUAGAUACCCGGGUAGUCCCUGUCUCUUAUAC